rnacentral:rRNA from 1 species
AGGCAUGUGCACGCCCUGCUCAUCCACUCUACACCUGUGCACUUACUGUAGGUUUGGCGUGGGCUUUCGGGGCCUUCACGGGCUUUGAGAGCAUUCUGCCUGCCUAUGUAUCACUAUAAACACUACGAAGUAACAGAAUGUAAUCGCGUCUAACGCAUCUUAAUACAACUUUCAGCAACGGAUCUCUUGGCUCUCGCAUCGAUGAAGAACGCAGCGAAAUGCGAUAAGUAAUGUGAAUUGCAGAAUUCAGUGAAUCAUCGAAUCUUUGAACGCACCUUGCGCUCCUUGGUAUUCCGAGGAGCAUGCCUGUUUGAGUGUCAUGGUAUUCUCAACCCACACAUCCUUGUGAUGCUUGUGAGGCUUGGACUUGGAGGCUUGCUGGCCCAUCGCGGUCGGCUCCUCUUGAAUGCAUUAGCUUGGUUCCUUGCGGAUCGGCUCUCAGUGUGAUAAUUGUCUACGCUGUGACCGUGAAGCGUUUGGCGAGCUUCUAACCGUCCUGCUAGGGACAACUUACUUGACAUCUGACCUCAAAUCAGGUAG